GACGAACGCUGGCGGCGUGCUUAACACAUGCAAGUCGAACGAAGUGGCGAACUGGUGAGUAACGCGUAAUCAACCUGCCCUUCUGCGGGGGACAACGGUUGGAAACGACUGCUAAUACCGCAUACUGAGGGAGGGGAUUGCGUCUGAUUAGCUAGUUGGAGGGGUAACGGCCCACCAAGGCGAUGAUCAGUAGCCGGACUGAGAGGAGGAACCGGCAAAAUGGGACUGAGAAAAGGGCCAGAAUCCUAAGGGAGGGAGCAGGGGGGAAUCUUCCGGAAUGGAAGAAAGUCUGACGGAGCAAAGGCGGGUGGGGGGAGACGGGUUUCGGGGUGUAAAGCUCUGUUAAUCGGGACGCGGUACCGGAAUAGAAAGCCACGGCUAACUACGUGCCAGCCGCCGCGGUAAUAC
rnacentral:rRNA from 1 species